CCUGCUUUCAAAAAGGACACAAUCUAAUUUAUAUUUUAAUAUAUUUAACAUCUAUCGUUCAUCCUGCCAUCUGGGGGAGGGGGUGGGGGGUAAGAGGUGAAAAAUUGGAACAAAAGGUUUGGCAAUUGUUAAUGCUGUAAAGUUACCCAUGCAUAUAACCUGUAAAUAAAAGGCUAUUAAAAAAAAAAAAGGACACAGUCUUAUAGGAGAGACAGAUAACUUGCAAACAAAUACAUCUAUAGAUUUGUAUGUAUUUGUUAACAUGUUGUCUAAAUAUUUUGUAAAUAUCCUGUGUAUAAAUAUUAUAUAUUAUAUUUACAGAAUAGUAAAUAUAAUGUGUAUAGAUAUGCAAUGCCUAUACACAUGAGAUAUUUACAGAAUAAAUUGGAGAUGAUAAUAAAACUCAUUAGCUCUCAAGAUUAGGAGACUCUUCUUUUUUUUAACUUUUUUAAAAUUUUAAUAGCUUUUUAUUUACAAAUUAUAUGCAUGGAUAAUUUUACAUCAUUGAAAAUUGCCAAACCUUUUGUUCCAAUUUUUCCCCUGCUUCACCCCACCCCCUCCCCUAGAUGGCAGGAUGACCAAUACAUGUUAAAUAUGUAAAAGUAUAAAUUAAAUACAAUAUAAGUAUACAUGUCCAAACCAUUACUUUGUACUUUGCUGUACAAAAAGAAUCAGACUCUGAAAUAAUGUAUAAUUAGCCUGUGAAGGAAAUCAAAAAUGCAGGCAGGCAAAAAUAUAGGGAUUGGGAAUUCAAUGUAAAGGUUCUUAGUCAUCUCCCAGAGUUCUUUUGCUGGGUGUAGCUGGUUCAGUUUAUUACUGCUCCAUUGGAAAUGAUUUGGUUCAUCUCAUUGCUGAAGAUGGCCAGUUCCAUCAGAAUUGAUCAUCAUAUAGUAUUGUUGUUGAAGUAUAUAAUGAUCUCCUGGUCCUUCUCAUUUCACUCAGCAUCAGUUCAUGUAAGUCUCUCCAGGCCUUUCUGAAAUCAUCCUGUUGGAUAUUUCUUACCAAACAAUAAUAUUCCAUAAUAUUCAUAAACCACAAUUUAUUCAACCAUUCUCCAAUUGGUGGGCAUCCACUCAGUUUCCAGUUUCUGGCCACUACAAAGAGGGCUGCCAUAAACAUUCUUGCACAUACAGGAUACAAAAACUUUUCAGUUUGAUAUAGUCGAAAUUUUCUAUUUUGUGAUCAGUAAUGAUCUCUAGUUCUUCUUUGGUCAUAAAUUCCUUCUUCUUCCACAGGUCUGAAAGGUAAACUAUCCUGUGUUCCUCUAGUUUAUUAAUAAUUUCAUUCUUUAUGCCUAGGUCAUGAACCCAUUUUGACCUUAUCUUGGUGUACGGUGUUAAGUGUGGAUCAAUGCCUAGUUUCUGCCAUACUAGUUUCCAAUUUUCCCAGCAAUUUUUGUCAAACAGUGAGUUCUUAUCCCAAAAGCUGGGGUCUUUGGGUUUGUCAAACACUAGAGUAUUAAAGUUAUUGACUGUUUUGUCCUUUGAACCUAACCUAUUCCACUCAUCAACUAAUCUAUUUCUUAGCCAAUACCAAAUGAUUUUGGUAACUGCUGCUUUAUAGCAUUUUAGAUCUUGUACAGCUAGACCACCUUCAGUUUAUUUUUUUUUCAUUAAUUUCCUUGAAAUUCUUGACCUUUUGAUUUUCCAUAUGAACUUGGUUAUUAUUUUUUCUAGGUCAUUAAAAUAGUUUUUUGGAAGUCUGAUUGGUAUAGCACUAAAUAAAUAGAUUAGUUUAGGUAGUAUUGUCAUAUUUAUUAUAUUUGCUCUCCCUAUCCAAGGGCAUUUAAUAUUUUUCAAAUUGGCUAGAUCUGACUUUAUUUGUGUGGAAAGUGUUUUGUAGUUUUGCUCAUAAAGUUUCUGAUUUUCCCUUGACAGAUAGAUUCCUAAAUAUUUUAUACUGUCAGAUAGUUACUUUAAAUGGAAUUUCUCUUUGUAACUCUAACUGUUGGAUUUUGUUAGUGAUAUAUAAGAAUGCUGAUGACUUAUGUGGGUUUAUUUUGUAUCCUGCAACUUUGCUAAAGGUGUGGAUUAUUUCUAAUAACUUUUUAGUAGAAUCUUUGGGGUUCUCUAAGUAUAUCAUCAUAUCAUCAGCAAAGAGUGAUAAUUUGCUUUCCUCAUUACUUACUUUAAUUCCUUUAAUGUAUUUCUCAACUCUUAUUGCCACACUUAACAUUUCUAAUACAAUAUUGAAGGGUAAUGGUGAUAGUGGGCAACCUUGUUUCACCCAAUUAGGAGAAUUUUCUUAGCAGGUGAAAUUUUAGCUGACAGUUGAAGGAAUCAAGGGAAACAAUGUAAUAGAGAUGAAGGGAGAGAGAAUUCUGUGCAUGGGAAGGUGCAAUGGGAUGUGGAGAACUUUCAGUGAAAAU
ensembl:lncRNA